AACAUUAUCUCCGCAAAAUGGAGAUUUACUGUGUAGUUUCCAUUUCCCAUGCAAAAUCCAUAAUAUGUUAGGGAAAGCGGAGAAACCCGUGCAUCCAUAUACAACUCACCAUUGUCGAUGGAAAGGUUUUUAUUAGACCAGGUAUAGUAAUCCUCCUUAAGGCUAGUAUCAAAGAAGUGGCCGGUGUUGCUAAGUGCCCAAUUCGUUUCACUAAGGUGAAAGCUUGCUGCUGGUCCAGUUUCAUUUGAAUCAUCAUCAUACGUCAAGCUUUCAUUAGAAGUUAUUUGCUUACCACCACAAUUUAUACGGAGAGAGUACGAAGCUGGAAUAGUCAAAAGAAAAAAAAUGCCAAGUACAAUAAGAUGAUCACAUUAUAAAUAAAAAUUGUAAGAUUAGAACCUAGAACAACAACCUUGGUUCGAAUACAAGGAUUUAUUGUAGAAACAAGCUCAAAUAAGCCAAUUCAAACAGGCCCUAAGUAGAAAUUAUUAAGUUAAAAGCACCAGCAAGUAUCCUACAAUCUAAAGGAAAACCACGACAAAUCAACUUACUUUUAGGACAGCUGAAGUUCCCCAAACAUGAAACCCUUCCCCUAAGAAAAAAUAAUGGUGUGUAACAUAUCAGCAUAAUCACAUUAUAAAAUAAUUUAUUAUGACUCAUGAGUAGUACAAAACUUACAAGUUAUUUCGCUUUGAAGAUGAUGCAAACAAGUUCCUGCGGCACAUGGUAAACAGCAAAAGAUUAGAUAGUUUCUUAAAAUUGUUGAAACAAAAAAAGUAUGAAAAAACAAGGAUUCUUACACGGUUCCCUGUUGACAUGUCAACUGCUCUGGAUUUUCAAUGCUCAAAUUGUUAUACGAAAGAUCUCUGCAUGUGUCAAAUUAUGCAUGUGAUUCAGAAAUAAAGAUGUAACAAAGAACUAUAUGUAACACUUUGGUAUAGAAAUAUCGAAAACUAGUUGUACAAAAAUUUAGCAUGCAGAAGUAAUAAUUAACCUCAAUAAAUUAAAUAAGCAGCAUUUGAAGGAUUGAUUACUCACGUGUAGUCUAGUUUAGCAAUCCAAUUUGGAAGCGGUCCAGUCAAAAGGUUUCCAGUUAAGUAUCUAAGUAAAACAAUAAGAUAAGAUUAAUGAAGACUAGAUUAAAGUUUAAGGAUAUCAAGAAAAAACUUGCACCAAUGUUCUACGCUUUCUCCUUAUUUCCAUUUAUAGAUUUACCUCUUUUUCUAAUCAUUCUCAAUUUAGAUUUUCAGCGAGAGGCCGCGACGUGAUUAUCUCAUGGUGAUAUAUAAAUUUAUUGGUCUGAAGUUUAAGAACAAAAAUAAAUAGAAUGUAUGCACAUAGACAUAGUUCUAGAUUGCAGUUCGCAACUGCAAUAGGGUUUUAGAGGUUUCUGCAACGGUAUCAAACUGCAAUUGUGGCCGUAUUUGCCUGCACUGUUGCAGUGUAAUUGCAUUUUAGAACCAUGCAUGCACAUGGACUUGAAAUGGAUAAAUAUUCAUGAGAGAAAUGAAUCAGAUUCACGAUUUUCCACUUGCGUUUCUAUCUAAAAUCCAAUCUAUUAAUAAUCUCGUGCUUCGCUUCAAACAAUUCUAACCUUGUCUUCAUCAGUUUAAAUCACACUUUCUUUCAGGUAUCUUUAAGAAUUCAAUUUGAUGUAUACAAGUAACUCAGAGGAUAUUGCUUACAGCAUACUUAUGCUCGUCAGGCCACCCAAGGUGUUCGGAAUCGGUCCAGUUAAUUUGUUAAAACUGAGAUCUCUGAAAAAGAAAUUAUGCUCAGAAUAAAUAUUAUUCGACAAGAAAAAUGGUUUAGUCCCGAUAACAUAACAAAAGAAGCAUCUUGUUUUUCACCAAAUUUUGAGUACUGAUUGUAUCUAUUGUAACUGGUUCUAACGCAUGUGAAUAAUGCAAGAAACUUCCUAGCAUUACUCACAAAGAUUUUAAAGUAGUAAUAUUUCCAAGAUAGUCGGGAACUUCUCCUAUAAGAUUGCAACUCCUCAGCACUCUGUCAAAAAAAUUGAUACUAUGUAAAUUUUUAAAGUGCAAACAAGCACUUAUGCUAAUAAUCCAAGCAAUUCCCUUACAAUGUUUGAAUAUUUUUCAAGCCAAUAACUUGCGGAAAUGGAGAAUCUGAUCCUUUCAAGUCGCUUAUUCUCCUGCAUAACAUUUGUUAAACGCUGUAAAACUCAAUUAGAGAAAAAUUGAAUUUUAAAUCCUUGACCAAAAUCUAUAAAGCACUGAUACACACAAAUACCGAACACGAUACUGACGUUGACAUACAUGUAGUGUGUCAGACACUAGACUCGCAUUCAAUUUAAACGUCGGUGUUAAAGAUCACAAGAAAAUACAUCAUACUUACAAGUCAGUGAGGUUUUUCAGAUUUAAAAUUCCAGAAGGAAUUGGACCACUCAAACCACUCCCUUGCAUCACCCUGUCAAAAUUAAAAGUUAUUAUUUUGACAAACCAGCUUAACUAAGAAAAAAAAUUAUGAUUUAGAAUUUCACAAGAAGAAAGAAAAGGUUCACACAUCCUCUCAAGAAUUGUCCAGUUCUGAAUGAAAUGAGGUAUAGUUCCAGAAAAUUGAUUGUCGCAAAGUCGACUGCAUUUUCAGAAGGUAAAAUAUGAUAUUAGGAUUCAUAUGAACAUCAAUAGAAUGAAUGUUAUUAAGUGUAACAAAAACAAUUAAGGGAAGGAUUUGUUACAUGUGCUUCAGUUUAGUGAGGUUAGCAAAUGUUGGAGGUAAAUUACCGGUAAAAAAGUUCGAGGUAAGAAGCCUACAACAACAUUGAAAUUGGAAUUAGGGAUUGCAAUUCUCUGUAUAGUAAAAAUGGAUAAAAUCGCCUAUUUUUUAGGUGUAGCAAUCUAGAAAAUGGCAGUGUAGUUAAUUGUGGAUCACAUAAAAUAGCAGUUUGUUCAAAUUCCGUUAUAUUACAGUGCUAUAACGCUACACUAUGAACUACAUCACGUAUCACAGAAAGAUAACAAUUUGUUAAAAUUCCGCUAUACUAUAACACUUCUAUAACUGCUAUUUGACAAAACUCGAAUAUAUAUAGAUGAAUUCUACAAAAGGUCUUACAGUCUUUCAAGCUGGUGAAGAUUCCCAAGCUCCGGUGGAAGAUCUCCAGAUAACUGAUUGAACUUCAGAAUCCUAUGCAUUUAGGGUUUCAAACUUUUAAGUUCCUUGAAAAUUUUCAUAAAAUUUACAUGGGAAAAUUACUUACAAUUUUUGCAUGGUGCUGAUGUUUCCAAGCUCUUUCGGGAUUGAACCCGUUAAUCGGUUUCCUAUGAGUGAACUGUCACAAAAUUAAAGAAUCAUGCAAAACUACUUAUAAUAUUAUAUUCCAAAAGGAAAAUAAUAAUCUAAAACUAAAAAUUACAUAAAAGAAUAGGAAAUAAAAGAAUGGUUAAGGGGAAAUACAUGUUGACAAGAUUCAUGGAACCCCAUUGUGGAGGGAUUGUACCAUUAAGGUAGUUGUUUGAGAGAUCACUGUACCACAUUAAGUAAAAGAAUCAAACAUUAAUAUUGAAUUAUGAUAAUGAAACAAAUUUAGUGAGGUAAUAAGAAUUAGAAUAACCUACAUUUGUUGGAGGUAAGGCAAUCUCACAAGUUCCCUUGGAAGUGUGCCAGAAAGAUUUUGUGACUUGAGAACACUGCACCAUAAUUAAUUAUAAGCUUGAAUAUUUGAUUAUAAAUAUUGAAUUCAUAUUAGUAGAAUACCAGGUUCGAUUCCCAGAUGGAAAUAACGUUUGACCAGUGCACAUGCAUCAUAAUUAAUUAAAAGCUUGUGUUUUGACUCUAUAAGCUUUUGUAGCACCUUGAAAAUUAGGUUCUAAAUAUAUGAAUUCAUAUUUAACUUAUUUAAUUAGGUUCUGAAAAUUAAGAACAACACAUCUAUCCACCACAGUAGUGACCAACCUACCUUAAAGAAUAUGUUAAGCAUACAAGGUUAUCUAUGUACCACCUGUACACUCACACACAAUUGUGGCAUGUGUGUGUCCAUGUGGUCCCCACACACACAAAAAACUCAUAUUUAUUGUCACCCACACACUCUCAUAUGGGGGGUACAAUUUGUGUAUGGCGAGAAAAGGGUGUCCAUGAAACAUUAUCCUUAUUAUACACAAGCCAGAAAUCGAACAUCUAACUACCUGCUUAAAGGUGUAUGAGUCUCUUACCGGUAUAACCAACCACAUGUUUGUAUCUAAUCAACGUGUAUGAUGAGUCAAUCAUUGACAUAUAAAUUCUAAAUUCUCUAAAAUUUCCAAUUAUCAUCCAAACACACUCUUAGAUUUAGUAGUAUUUGACAUAUAAAUCAUUCACUAGUAUAUCAUUUAUUUAGGUGAAUCAUCGUAGCACAAAUCAAAUUAAAUAACAAGUCACUUGAUUUUUCCCCUAAAUAAAGUCAGUUGAUUUUAAUCUUUUAUGCUAACUAUACUAAACAAACUAAAGGGAAUAUAUUUAGACUAACAAGAAAAAAACAAAAUAAAAGCCCAUUGAAAAUUUGAUUUAGUAUUUUGGGUAAGAUGGUGAAGCAUAUCUAUAUUAAGAAUCACGUAUCGGAUUGAGACGUGACAUAAAUAUAUGUUUAUAAAUGAUGGAUUGUCCUCAUCUUAUAAGUCAAUUAUGUGCGAGUUGAGUUAGGUCCAAUUUAAAGUACUAAUAAUCUAUAAGAGUAUAUUGAUGUGAGCAUUUAUAUUCAAGCACCAAGUUCAAUAGUAUACAAUAUGAAAGAGAUUAUUGGAGGAAAAAGUACCGCAUAACAUAAAGAUAAAACUUAAAAUUAGUUUAUAAAGAAUAAUAAUUUUAUAGGAUUAGUAAGGCACAGUGUAAAAAUAUAAUAAUACCUGCACCAAACACACAAAAUUGACACACAUAUGGAGAGCAAGAAAAUGACAUACAUGCUAACAAUAUGACAGACAGUGGCAUUGGCAAAAGUGCAAUUGCAAGUGACAGCAUUUUCAAACCCUUUCAUUGGACUAGAAGUUGUCCAAUUAUUUUCUCCACUACAUGGAUCUAUGUUGAAGUCCCAAUCCUUCUUCCCAAGUGUCUUAGCUACAUCUUUCAUAACUUGUACUGCAUAUUAAUUCAAAACCAAAAUUUGUUUUAAUAUCCUCAUGCUAGAGACGAAAAACUUAAACUGAUAGCGAAAAUCGUACCUGAAACCUUGAGGAGAGCACAUUCCAAAGUCUCAAGUCAAAACGACUAGACCAAAUAAAACUAAGAGAGACGUUUAUAAGGUACAUACCUUCUUCUUGUAAGAGAGUAGCUCCUCUAGCAAAUGAAGAGAUCAAACAAAAGGAAAGAAACAAAAGAUGCAAAGACGUGUUCAUGAUAAGCUUCAUAUUUGAAACAAGUGAAUGGAAUAAAUGAAAUCAAUCCAUGAAUGUGUAAGGGUUAUAUUAAGCAAUUAAUUGUAGCAAGAGAUGCGUUCCUGGAAAGAGAUAUAUGGAAAAUAGACCACUUUAUGAGUUAAUGAAAUGAAAAGUCGAUAGUAAUGCGAAAUAGACAAAAAUUUAAGUAAGGGCCCGUUUACUUUCAUUUUUCCUGCUUUUUUAUUUGAAAAUAUACACUUGUUUACACUUACAAUAUUUUAAGUUGUUAACAAUGGUCUAUAAUCGAAGUUAUGAUAAGAACAAUGCAUGCACAUGUACCAAAAGAGGUAUUUGUCCUAAUAUAAGACGUAAUAAGAACAAUCAACGUCAAACCCGCGAUAAGCCUAUAAUUCGAUAUCAACAUCAUCUUUCUAUGUAAGCAUUAUAACAAAAAAAGAAAGUGCGUGAAAAGGCAACAAUAAAGCAUGUCACAUGUACGACCGUUUUGGGUGGGGUUUUGAUAAGAGGGUUUAUACCCAUCUGCUAAGAGUUCUACAUCGGUUAGGAGUUCGACUUGAUAAUUUAUUUAUAAGUGGAGGCAAUCCUCACCCCAUAAACCGAUUUUGUAGGGUUGUGUUAGGACCAACCACGAUUUCUAAUACUAUCCUCGCACAGCAAUAAGUAUGUCGUUUUGUAUCAAAAUAUAUAAUUAUCGAAUUCACACUGAUUGCGAUAUAGUUUGAGCCAUUCAAAUUAUGCAAUGUUCUAAAUCAAUAUGUUAUAAAAGAGUUGAUUUGACAAUUUGUAAAAAGGAUGAAAUAAAUGAAUAAAAAGUUGUGUUGGGAUUAAACGUCGUUAGAUAAUCAUUCAAUGAACUCUCUUAAUCGAUUACUUACUUUCUAUAUUUUAGUUAUGUUUCCACAUAUCCCUCCCUUAACCGGAAAACACCGCAAGAUUUAUUAUAUCAAAUAAUUUCUGGUGUCCACUUAGUUAAUUGAUCAAUGGAAUUAAUCAGACAAUGUGUGUGAUUGUAAACGUGUCCUUAUAUCUAACAAUUAGCAUCCACAACUGAAUUUAUUUUAGAUCCCUGAGAUAAAAAGUCGAUGUCUCACACUUUUUAAGUAAUAGCGAAUAACUAUUACUUUAUUAUUUUAUUUUUUACUAAGGACGUUCCAUCCAUAAUCAUGGGAUGCCCCAUCAAUCAGAGAGUAUUAUAAGCAUUUAAAAUAACAGAGUAUCAAAAAAGAAUUUUGGUAUGAGUCACACUAUUUUAAUAUAAUCCGUUAUUGCUCAAGUUGGCAAAUCAAUACCUUGAGCUUAUGCCUUAUAACUCAGACUUUAUAAGCAGACUCGUUUAAUUCCUCAAAAAAAAAAAAAAAAAAGACUCGUUUAAUAACAUUUUUUUACGAGCUUGUAAUUUAUUUUUAUUAACUUAUAAUAUAUUUUGAUAAGCUAAUUCAAUUAACUUAUAACUUUUAGGUUAUCAUUUUUCUCUCAAUUUUAUCCGUGUCUUCUUUCUUGAAAAACAAAGUCAUUGACACCGAUUAACAGCUAACCAAACAGUCUAAUGCAAUUUCUGACACUUUUCCAUGGAAAUACAUCAAUUUAUUUUCAAUUAUGAAAAUUAACAUUAGAAUGCAGUUACACACAAAAUAACAUUAGAAUGCAACUAUUCCCAUGAGCUUAGUUCAGUUGGUAGGGAUAUUGCAUAUUAUAUGCAGGGGCUGGGGUUUGAACCCCAGACACUCCACUUCUCCACAAUUUAAUUGUGUGAGCUUUAGCUACUAGGCUACUUGACCAAAAAAAAAAAAACAUUAGAAUGCAACUAUUUCAUAAGUUCUAGCUCAACUGAUAAAAAAUUAUCGAAAUUGUUAGGCUGGACAUCAUGAUCGAGAUUCAAAUCCCGGUACUUUCACUCUAUGUGUGUGAGUUUAGGAUAGCUUUGCCAUCUCUUCUAUUUUAAAAAAACAUUAGAGUGCAACUAUACAUCAUUUAAUAAUAUGAAAAAUUUAACAACUUUCGUCAAUAGUGGUGAUCUUUUUGUUGGACAUUACUUUAAUAAAGAAUGUACACUUUUUAUCUCCUUUUUUUGUUUUGUUUUGAGAAAAGCACACUUUUUAUCUCCUUUUUAAAUCUGCUUUUAUAAACUCAAACGCGGUUUCACAAUUUUUUUCUGGUAUUUGGUAAACUAUAGAAGCGAUUCCCUUAAACGUGGUUUAGGCCCCAAACUCACGUUCACUCAAAGCUGGAAUCUGUAGCUUCUGUGGCAAUUGAAAGCGCUUUUGAAGAUUUACUUUUUAUGACAGAUUUAUAUUCCGAAAUUACCUAUGACAUCUUUAUCAUUUUCCUACAAAGUUGUAAACAAAUUUCUAAUUAACGGCCACAGUGAUGAUUUUUCAUUCCUCUAUUUGUUUACUCACCUUGCUUAGCCUUCAGCUGCAGCGCUGCAACCUGCAAGCUUCAGUAAUCUCUCUCUUUUUCUCCAGGUUAGGGAAAAAGCUGGAAUUGGGCUUAAAAGCUCUAUUUCUUUUAAUUUAUUUACUAAAAUACAAUAUACAUUUUGUUUUAAAAGUUUGACUAAUCUACAAAUAAUAAACUUAAUAAUGCAAAAUAAAUUUCAACCAUUAUAUAAAAUAAAAAUAAAGUUUAUUAAAGAAAAAUGAAGUCUGAUUUUAAAUACAUAUUAAUACCCCAUUUUGGUAAACUUGAUCCAUUAUAUAAAAUAAAAAUGAAGUUUAUUAAAUAACAUCAACUCAUAAGAAUCACUUUUAGUAAAAUAUAUCCAAACAUAAAUCAAUUCACAUCCAACUCACUUUUAACUAAAAUCAAUUCUUUCAAACUCAAUUCUAUCAAAAUCAAUUUUCGUCACCGCCAAACCAAAUACACACAGUAUCUAACCCUAUACUCACCAUUUUAUCUUCUUUUUAAACAUUCAAAGUAUCUGAUCCUGACUUUUUACAGUAUUAUUUUUAAAAAGUUUAUUUUCUAAAUGUAAAGCCUGUCGUCAAGAAAGUUAAAAUAAAUAAAUAGAACUUCAAUUGAAUCUUUGAUGCCUUGAAUCAAAUCAACAUAAACAUGAAACAUCAUGUUGGGACCUUUAAUAAGAUUGAUAGAAUGUAAAGAAUCCGAGUAACAAGCUAACUUUGUAAUUUCAACCUCUUUUGCCAACAUUUAGGCCCCGGUAAAUAGCGAAUAACUAUAUUUUAAGAAUAUCAGAGGAAUGUUGAAUAUAGCCAAAGAAACCUGAUAAAUAAAAACUUGUUUCAUUUCUUAAGACACCGCCAUAGCCAACUCUAAUAGCAGAGCCGAGGCAACUACCAUCAACGUUAAGGAUGAUGCUAAAGUUAUUGUUAUUAUUCCACUUGAUAAGUCUAUCAAUUGAUAUGCCAUUUGGCGCUGAACGGAAGCAAACUGAUAAUGUUUCAACCAUGCAUACUGUGAAUGUUAUAUCAAAUUUCAUUGAAGUUAUAUUUUUUUUUGUUACAUAUAUCCACGCGAGAAAGAAGCCAAUAAUACUCACUUUUAGUAAUGUAGGUGACAUUUUUGCUUGGCCAAAAAAAAGCUUCCUCAAAAGAGGCAUUGAACUUGAUUUGCAUGUUGUUGAUGGAGUCUGCUACGAUAGGAGUGAGAUUGGUGUAAAGAGCCUAGGGCCUAUCUGUUGGAGGAGAGCACAUCAUUAACUGUCAGAUGCAAGUCAUGAAAAUCUAUGAAGGGUGCUAAGCACCUUAAGUAACAAAAAGAACUCCAAUGGCAAGAACAAAAAGAAGAAGGCUAAAAUAUAGUUUUAGUCCCUGCAAAUAUGCCUCGUUUUGAUUUUAGUUCCUGUAAAAAAAAUAUUUUGUUUUUGAUCCCUGCAAAUUUUUUUGUUUUUGAAAAUAGUCCUUGACCCCACUUUUGUGAUGAUUUGCAACGUGACACAUUAUAACUGAACCAAUUUUGUAGUUUUUGGUCCCCGCAAAAUAUUUUGUUUUUAAAAAAGGUCCCUGCAAAUUUUUUUGUUUCUGAAAAUAGUCCCUCAGGGACUAUUUUCAAAAACAAAAAAUUUUGCAGGGACAAAAAACAAUUUUUUUUUUUUACAGGGAGUAAAACCAAAACGAGGCAUAUUUGCAGGGAGUAAAACCAUAUUUUAGCCGAAGAAGAAACACCUGACCCGACCCUACGUGCCAAGAGAACCAACCAAGUGGAAGCCUUUGUUAUUAGUGUGUCUCCAAACGAAAUUACGGAUAGUUUGAUCAAUACUAUCACAAAUACUCCGAGUGAUUAGCUCUUGCAUGUAGCUAAUAAGAUGAAAUUGAGGAAAAAACAUAUGAAGCAAGAGCUAAUCAUCCAAGUUUAUUUAGCAAUCAAUAUUUUUUCUUCAGGAAGCAAGCUUAGAUUGCAUUUUUUAUAUGAUAAAAAGUAAAUGAGUUCCCACUCCCAAAUUCCUCAACACAAUUGUUACAUUGGGAAUUCCAAAUCACAAUUUGAGAUUAAAAGUAGGAGUUCCCGUGAUGCUAUAAAGGAAUAUAUAUACACAAUUAAGAUUAUGCAAUGGGACAAGACUAAUUAUAACAAGGAUGGAAAAAUUUGUGCUAGAGGGAAAAGUGAUAUCUAGAAGUAACUUCAGGGAGAAGAUCUUUAUACCUAGGUUAUCUCUAAUACCUUCUGAUGUAAGAAUCCCUUUCAAGUUUAAGCGUACAUAAUUCCCUUUGGUAGUUUCCUUUGCAAUGACCAUUAUUAAUAAGAGUUAAGGCCAAUCACUAAAACAUGUUGGAGAUAUACCUUCCAACCGUCAGUGUUCUUAUAUGGUCAGUUGUACGCUGCAAUAUCAAGGGUCACUUCAAAGGAAGGGUUGCAGAUAUUGAUAAACGAUGAAAACGGUGAAGAUACUAAUGUGACAUCAAAUGUGGUCUACAAAGAUCCAAAUGCAUAAUAGCAGUUUUGGCCCCCUAAGUAUCAGAAAGUUGAGAUCUUGGCCCUGUAACAAAAUAAAAUACAAUCAAACCCCCUAAGUACUACCCCUUUUGCAGUUUUGACCCCCAUGCCAAUUUUGACCAAGUCAAUGCUAAUUUUUUAAUUAAAAAUAAUUUUUUAAUAAUUAAAAAAAUAAAAAAAUACACAUGUGGCGUCCACGUCAUCAUUGGCUUGGUAAAAAUUGGUCUAGAGGGCCAAAACUGCAAGAGGGACAAUACUUAAAGGGCUGUAUUGUAUUUUAUUUUGUUAGAGGGUCAAAAUCGCAACUUCCUGAUAUUUAGGAGGCCAAAACUGCUAUUAAACCUUUUUCAAAAAUAUUAAUGUUAUCUUGAUAUGAUUAGUAUGGAUCCAUAUUUUUUUUCUAAGUAUGUGGAUCCAUUUUAAUGAUACGAAGUAUAUGGUUUUUUUUUUUUUGACCAAAUAUAUGGUUAAUAUCUAUUAUUUUGGUAUAAUUGAUUUUUCUUGACAAGUAUUAUGAACAUAUAAAGUGAUGUCUCUUAAGUCAGUAGACCUGUGCGGAGCACGGGUCGAUGGUCCGGUAAUGUAUAACUAAAAGAGUAAUGAUAUUUGUAUAACCAAUUUUGUACAACAAUUUUUUCUCUAUUUUUAUUGGACAAAAAUAAUAGAGAGAGAAAGAAAAAAAAGAGAAUAAAAAAACAUGUGAGUAUGAGAGAGAGUUGUUUCAAAAGUUGUCAAAAAGUGAUUGUACACAUAUCAUUUCUCUAACUAAAGAAACAUGUACGUCACACCCACCAACCCCCCCCCACACACACACACACACACACCCCCCCACACACCCACCCACCCCCCGGUUUUUUUUCUUUUUUCGUCUUGCUAUCAAGUAGCUUUCUCAUUUCCCUAGUACGUAGAAAAUACAAAAUGGAAUCACCUAUUUAGUAAGCCUAGAGAGAUUAAAAGCUAAAUAAAUAUAACUCAAAGUUCUUUUAAAAAAGAAAAAAUUAUACCUCGAAGUAUAACUUUCUUCUACACCUAUUUACAUUCAAUUGUAUCUAAGAGCUGAUAUUGGAACAACCUUACAACACCGCAUAACAUUUUGUCUUCGCAUCAUUUACUCUUUCUUAAAUAAAAAAAAAUCAAUUAAUUUAUUUCAAAAAAUAUAGUCAUAUGAUUCGAAAUAUGUUACAAACACUAAGUCUUUUUUUAACAAAAAAAAGGAGAAGGAAUAAAUUAAUUGACACUAAUGACAAAUUUAUAAGUGUCUCUACUAGGGGAAUUUAAACUGUAUCAAAGUUAAAUGAUUUUCUAUGUUGAUAAACAUCUGGCAUGGGAGUUUUAAACUCCAAAGUGUGUUUCUUUAACAGAUCGAUCAUCAUGAAUGUUUCAAGUGUAAUAAUUCUAAUACGACUGCGACCGGAUUGUAAAUUAUAAUUUUCCUAAAGUAUGUGAAAGAAAGAUCAACAGAUAUAAACAUUUAUAAAGUAUUUAGACUUCUACAAGGAGAAUCCAUGCUGAUAGAAUGCAUAUCUGCAUCAGACAUAAAUUCUGAAGUUGCAUUUAUUAAGAUGCUCUCUUCUUGAGUCUCAGGUGUAUCAACUUUUUCACUUUGCUGAUAAUAUUGUUGAAUCAUUUCCAACUUCUUGCCUUCAAAAACUUGGCUUGUAUCUUGCAUAACUUCUUCAACAACAGAUUUUCCUUCAAGCAUGCUUACAACUGAUGACAUAGUUGGUCUGUGCAUUGGAGAAACAUGAGUACAUAAAAGUGCUACAUUGAUUAUGAUCAUUGCUUCCUCUUUCUUGAAAUCUUCACCUAACCUCUCAUCAACUAGGUCCAUUAUGUUACCUUCUUCGUUCAAGAGAUGCACCUGAUAAAUAUGAAAUACAAUUGGAAUUCACAAUUUGGAUUGACUUGAUUAAUUGAGCUUGUCUACUGGUAUAAACACUUGUGAGACUGUUUGGGAGUGCUUAUUCAAACAAUUUAUGACAUGUAUAUAAGCUGUUUUUAGGUUAUUUCCAUAAACUCUCCAUGAUAACUUAUAUGAAAACAAUUUGCCUUUAUUUUAUCUUUUGAGCUAUAGAAAUAACAUGUGCAUAACCACUUAUAUGAUAAAUACUUAAUUAAGCUAUUUAUCCAGCAUGGCCUAAAUUAAAAUUCAAGAUUGAAGUUAUCCAUAAAGUAUAUGUAGGAAAUACAGUAUAGAAUCACCCAUUUUGUAAUCAGCAUUUCUAUAUAUAAAGCGAAUAAAAGCGAAUAAAACCAUGACUAAAGCAUCACAAAUUAAAAAGCGACCAAUGAAAACUUGGAAUUAUGGAAAAUUCACGGUAAGUCAAUUGCAAAAGGAGGAAGUCAAUAAAAGUGGCUGGGUGGAAUACAAAGUCGCGAUGUCUUCGCGAGAUAGCAUUUUGCUUGAAAUAGCAAUUUUCUUUUGUAAUUCUAGUUUGACAAAAAUUAAAAUAUUUAGCAAGCAUGGAUGACACUUUAUUUGGAUACCUUCUUGGAAAAUAAUAUAGAAGAUUUCAUUAAAUAAUUGGAAGUGAAAAUUGUAUAUCUCUUCAAAGGUGGCAUUUUGUGAAAAUUGAAUAUGAUUUUUAAAGAACCGUAUACAAAACAAACUUAUAAAUACUGCGACGAAGACUCAAAUUGGAUAUAAGGUAUGAAGUUAUGGAUGUGUUAGUUACCCAAUCAACAAGAGAGAAGCAUUCAUCCCUUGGCCUAUUCAUGGUGUUGUGCUUCCCACUAACAAUUUCCAAGGCAACAACUCCAAAACUAUAAACAUCCGCUUUCUCCGUCAAAUAUCCGUGCAUUGCAUAUUCUGGAGCCAUAUAUCCACUGCAACAUUGAAAAUUCAUAUCCUUGAAAUUCAUAAUAAGCGGUGUAAAUUAAUUUGACUAGUAUUCUUUUUUUGCCACACAUUAGAACUACACUUAGAAAAUGAUAAUCACAAGUCAUAGAACUCACUAAGUGCCAGCUAUUCUAGUGGUUAUGUGAGUGUAUCCCUCAUCUUUAAGCUUGGCCAAACCAAAAUCGGAUAUCUUUGGAUUGAGAUCUUUAUCGAGCAACACAUUAGUUGCCUUGAUGUCCCUAUGAACUAUCUUUAGCCUUGACUCUUCAUGUAGGUAAGCCAAACCUCGAGCAAUACCAACACAAAUUUUCUUCCUUGUCGACCAAGUCAAUUUCAAUUGACCUUUUUCUUUGGCUUCAUUUAUAAAUGUUAUAGAAAAUUAGACAACAUAAUCAUAUGGUAUAUGCUUUGUAUAAAAUAUUGUAGAUUGUAUUUAAUGAAAGAGCUACAAAACUUGACUUUAUAGAAAUUUGUUUUACCAAACAAAGCACAAGCAAGGCUAUUAUUUUCCAUGUAUUCAUAUAUCAGCAGCAACUGAUCUCCCUCCAUACAACAACCAUAGAGCUUAACUAGACAAGGAUGUUGCAAAGCAGAAAUCAAGCCGAUCUCAUUAAUAAAUUCGCGGUUCCCUUGCUUUGAUUUAGAAGAAAGCUGCUUAACUGCUACUGUUGUGCCGUCUGAAAGAACACCCUGCAAUUCGAGAAAUUUAUAUUAUAUCUCUAUAUAUGAAAGAAGUUAUAAAGAAGUAAAAACAAUAAUAGAUCUUCAAAUUUCAAAUGAAAGUGUAGAUUUUCCACAAUACCUUGUAAACAGGACCAAACCCUCCUUCACCAAUCUUAUAGGCAAUAUCAAAGUUGUUAGUUGCUGCUUUGAUUUUCCGUAACGUAAAUAGCCCAGGUUGGAAAUCUAAACCCUUUAGCUCUGUUGGUUGAAGUGAGAACAAAUAUAUAAAUCAAUAUUAAAAUCAGGGAUAUAUGUUAUGAGUGUUUUAGAUUUAAAGUAUCUUCUUAAUGCUUACCUCUUUCUAAUGGACCUAUCUUUCUUCGAUAUCUUCUCCAUCGAGCUAUACCAAAUAUCGUUAAGAUAACUAGUGCUACAGCCACUACAACUGCAACAAUAUCCCACACUAGUCUGCUACUUUCCUUUUCCACUGGUGGUGGUGUAAAGUCUGCUUGAUUAUGAUAUAAGAGAUUUGCAUGUAUUGGAGGAUUAGGAUAAUAGCAUAAGAAGAACUAAAGAGAGCUAUUACUAACCAGGAUCAACCGAUAUAGCCGAUAUAAGAGGGCCAUAUACCGAUCCAAAUGGGAUAGCAGUUGUCCCUUUCCCAGCCCAAUGAAGGCGAAUCUCCAGCGUAUUACUAGUCACACUAGCAGUGAACUUCUUUAUGAUUGCCUUACCAACUCCACCGGCUUCUUUUGCAAUAUUAAAAUCCUUCAGCACCAACCUUUUCUGCAAUAAUUCAAUCAAAAGAUUGUUUAUAAUCUUCAAAGGACAAUUUGAUCAAUACGAAAAAAUGUCGUUGAAAAAGAUAAGACAGAGACUACGAACCUGAAUAUAGAUGUCAAAUAUACGCCUUCCAAGGCUGUUAUAUGUUUGGUCAUCGGUGAACAUUAUCUCUGCAAAAUGGAGAUUUACUGUGUAGUUUCCAUUUCCCAGGCAAAAUCCAUAAUAUGUUAGAGAAAGAGGAGAAACACGUGCAUCCAUAUACAACUCGCCAUUGUCCAUGGCAAGGUUCGUUUUAUUAGACCAGGUAUAGUUGUCCACAAGGCUACUAUCAAAGAAGUGGCCGGUGUUGCUAAGUGCCCAAUUCGAUCCACUACGGUGAAAGCUUGCUGGUCCAACUUCAUUUGAAUCAUCGUCAUAUGUCAAGCUUUCCUUAGAAGUUAUGACCUUACCACCACAAUUUAUAUGGAGAGAGUAUGAAGCUGGAAUAACCAUGUUAUACCCUGUUUUUGGACCUAAAAAUACUGGGCCCAAUUUCAUUUCAAACUUUGUNNNNNNNNNNNNNNNNNNNNNNNNNNNNNNNNNNNNNNNNNNNNNNNNNNNNNNNNNNNNNNNNNNNNNNNNNNNNNNNNNNNNNNNNNNNNNNNNNNNNUCUUCAAAACCAUUUUCAAAACUUAAAAUCAAACAAUUAAAACAAAAAACAACAAGUCUUUUAGCAAGAACUACGCCGGUUUUGAUCCCGUAAAACGGUACGUAGGCAAUGAGUCAAAACUCAUCCAAGCCGAAAUAAAAUCAAAUUCUACUUCUUCUCGCCCCCAUUCUUAACUAAUCACACCUUCAUCUUUUUUACAAAUAGUCAAUAAAAUUAAAGCGUAGAAAUAAACUUAGGAGAGCGGUUCUUAUGGAAUACCAUAAUCGCUCCGGGUGCCUAACACCUUCCCGUAGCGAAAACGACCCCCGAAUCUAGAACUUCUUAAGGGUUUUUCUCCUUUUACCCUUUCCAAGAAAAAAGAGAGAUAUCAACGGUCGAAAGGUUCAAGUCCAAUUAAUGGCUUGGCACCCCAAAACCAUGAUAACAAACCAGAAAAGAAUUAAAUUUUAAUUACAAUAAGAUAACCACAUUAGGAAAAAAAUCUGAUUUUUCCAUCAUCAUCGAGUCCUCCAUUGCGCAUUUCGAGUCCUACACAACAAGCUCUUCGUAUAGGGAAGAAAAUUUUGCAUUUCACAUUCCACCUUUGAAGAAAUAAAUAAAUUGAAAUGAAGAAUCUGAAGGAAAUCCAUGAAGAAUCAACUUACUUUUCGGACAGCCGUUGUUCCCCAAACAUGCAACCAUUCCCCUGAGAAAAUAAUGAAGGUGUGUAACAUAUCAGCAUAAUCACAUUAUAAUAUGUAUAUGCUAUAUGCAUAAAAUAAUUUAUUGUGAUUUAUUAGUAGUACAAAACUUACGAGUUAUUUCCCUCUGAAGAUGAUGCAAACAAGUUCCUAAGGCACAUGAUUAAUAAAUAGCCAAAGCUUAGAUAGUUUCUUAAAAUUUCUGAAACAAAAAAAAGUAUGAUGCAAAUACAUGGAUUCUUACAAGGUUCCCUGUUGACAUGUCAACUGCUCUGGAUUUUCAAUGCUCAAGUUGUUGUAUGAAAGAUCUCUGUGUCAAUUUAAGCAUGCGAUUCAGAAUUGAAGAUGGAACAAAGAACUAUAUGUAACACCUUUUUGGUAUAGAAACAUUGAAAACUAAUGGUACACCAAUUUAGCAUGCAGAAGUUAUAAUUUUCAAAUCAAUAAAUCAAAUAAGUAGGGUUGGAAGGAUUACACACGUGUAGUCUGGUCUUGCUAUCCAAUUUGGUAGCGGUCCAGUAAAAAGGUUUCCAGUUAAGUAUCUAGGUAAAAAAAAAACAUAAGUGAAGUCAGUUUAUAAAACUCAUAAUUCAUAAUGAACCACCAAAAUGGUAACUAGCACUAAAUUAGAUCCUAUUCCCAGAUGACUUGGACGGUCCACAAGGAUCCUUUCAUCGACUUAACUGAGUUGAUCAUAUCGAUAUUCGUUUUAAUAAAGAUUAGAUCAUAGAUUAAUGAUAUCAGGACAGAAGUUGCACCAAUGUUCUCACAUUUCUCCUUAUAUCCACUUAUAGAUAUUCCUCUUUUUCUAAUCAUUCUGAGUUAAGCUUCUCAGUGAGAGGCAGCUACAUUAAAAGAGUAUAUGCACAUGGACAUAUUUCAAUAUUGCGGUGCACAACCGCAAUUAUGGCUGCAAUAUAAAUGAUUUAGAGAUUUCUUCAUCAGCAUCACAUCUGCAGUUGCGGCUGCAUUUUACCCUAGUAUCAGGGAUUGCAGUGCAGAAAUUGAAAACCAUUCACAUAGACUUGAAAUGAAUCUCAAUUUUGGAGAGAAAUGAAUCAGAUUCACUCUUUUUGAAUGUGUCUCUAUCUAAAAACCAAUGCAGUACAUUUUAUUAAACUCUCGUCAUUUCAUUGCAAAAAGCCUAAUCUUGUCUUGAUCAGUUUAAAUCACACUAAGUUCUUGCAAGUAUCAUUAAGAAUUCAAUUGGUUUUAGUUGUAUACAAGUAACUCAAAGGAUAUUGCUUACAGAAUAUUUAUGUUCUCAAGGCCACCCAAAGUGUUCGGAAUCUGUCCGCUUAAUUUGUUAAAACUGAGGUCUCUGAAAAUAAAAUUAUGUUUAGGAUAGUAUUACUCAAGAGAAAAUUUGGUUUCCGAAAAGAAACAUGAAGAAUGUUUAGUCACCGUAAUAUAAUGAAAUAAGAUUCUUGUUUUAGUACUUACAAUGAUCUUAAACUGGUAAUAUCUCCAAGAUAUUCUGGAACUGUUCCUAUAAGAUUGCAACUCCUCAGUAUUCUGUCAAACAAUUUGAUAAUAUGUAAAUCUUUAAGUGCAAAAAGGCUAAAGUGUCUCCUCUUUCUUAAUUAUUUGUUAGUAAAAUGAUUGAUUUAUAAUAAAAAUCCAAGAAAUUUACUCACAAUGUUUCCAAAUUUUUCAAGUUCAUAAGUUGCGGAAAAUGAGAAUCUGAUCCUUUCAAGUCACUUAUUCUCCUGCAUAACAUGUCUUAAGCAUUAAGAAAUUCAAUAAGAGAAAAUUUGAAUUUUGAGUCCGUGACCACAAACCAUGAAGCACUGACACAAGACACAAACACGAAUACCAGGCAUGAUACAUACAUUGACACGCAGACACUCGUAAUAAUUUAAAAAAUUUAAGUGAUCAAAUGUGACUACAUAUGUCAGUGUCACAUCAGUGUCAGGCACCGAUUACGCCAUCAAUUAGAAGAGUAAUUUGUCUACAGACCACAAUAAGAAAAUCUUACUUACAAAUCGGUGAGGUUUUUUAGAUAUGAAAUUCCCGAAGGAACUGGGCCACUCAAACCACUCCCUUGCAUAACCCUGUCACAAUUAAAAUAAAUUCUUCUAUAAACCAUUAAAUUAUAAGCAAUUCAACUAGGGAGAAAAAUUGACGAUUUAGAAAUUUCACAGCAUUAUAGAAAAGGUUCAUACAGCCUUUCAAGACUUGCCCAGUUCUGAAUCAAAUCAGGUAUAGUUCCAGAGAAUUGAUUGUCGCCAAGUCGACUGCAUUUUUAGACAGCAAGCACCAGAUUAACAUGAAAUCGAUAUAGUAAAUGUAAUUCAGUGUAACAAAAAUAACUAAAGAAAGGAUUCUUACAUGUGCUUUAGAUUAGUAAGCUUAGAAAAUGUUGCUGGUAAAUUUCCAGUAAAAUUGUUGGAGGUAAGAAGCCUUCAACAAUAUUGAAAAUAUUAGUGAUUACAAUUCUCUGAAGAGUAGUUUACACUUUGUUGAGUAAAACUUUGAAUGAAUAUAAUCACACUUAUUUUCUAGGGUUUUCUAUAUAAAUCAAACUACCUAUAGCAACCUAUGAAUUAGGAAAUAGUUUCCUCACCAAUGAUCAUACAACAAAAUUCUAAACCAACACUAAAGAUAAAUUUUCAGUAGAUUAAAAUAAAUCAACCAAAUGAAAUAAAAUAUAAUAGUAUUAUUAAUCGUCGAUCAUGGAAAAUAGCAAUUUAUUCAAAUUCCUCUAUAAUAAAAGUUAUGUGAUAUAUCACGGUUAUAGCUGCUAUUUGACAACACUUUGAACUAAAUUGCAUAUCGUGGAAACAACAAUUUAUUGAAAUUCUGCUAUGCUAUAUAUAGCCUCUAUUUAUCAACAUUGGAAAUAGAAAUUGUCAAUUCCAACUCCUACAAAUUAAGGGGCUUACAGUCUUUCAAGUUGAUGAAGAUUUCCAAGCUCCGGAGGAAGCUGUCCAGAAAAUUGAUUGAACUCUAGAACCCUAUGCAUUUCAAGUUUCAAUAUUUAUAAGUUCCUUGAGAAAUUUUCAAAAAAUUGAGAUAAGAAAAAUUACUUACAAGCUUUUCAGGGUGGUGAUUUUUCCAAGUUCUUUUGGAAUUGGACCAGUUAAACGAUUUCCUAAUAGUGAACUGUCUCAAAAUUAAGAAACAUGCAAAACUAGUUAGAAGAUUAUUUUCCAAAAGGACGAAAAAAAUUCUAAAAAUGAUAUAGAGAGCCAAAACCCAUUUCUCAUAACUAUUUACUAUUUUUGUUGAAGUCCGGAUACAAGAUACGAUAGUGCACCGAUACGGAAAAAUUUCAAAAAUCAAGAUAUGAUACGGCUGAAAUACGUUAAUAUAAAAUUAUAUAAUUAAAUAUACAAUAAUUAUAACCAUUUUUUUUAAUAUACAAAUAUAUUAACAAACAAAAGAAACUAGUCAUAGGCUCGUAGCACAUCAACAUAAAUAUAAAUAAUAUUGAUGAUUAAGAGAGUGAUGAUUAGUCAAUUACAUACACAAUAUAUCCCAAAAAGAGCAUCAUCAAUGAUAUACUAUAUCCAAAAGGAACAUUGUUAGUGUUAUACUAUAUCGAUCUAAAAAAGAAGCACUAUAUCCAAAAAAAAACACAUCAGUACUGAAGAGUUAAGUUAUUUUAGUUAACAUUUACUGUGAAAUAUCGAGGCAGAUAUCGAUGUAGGAUAAUUAUCAGAUACUCUCCUGAUACGUAUCGGGAAGUAUCGGCUGAUUAUUUUUUAAAAAAUUAAAAUUUAAUCUUCGGAUACUCUCCUGAUACGUAUCGGGAAAUAUCAUGCAGGUGUGGGUGCAGGAUACGCAGGGGAUACAAUACGUUAUCCAUUUUAAAGUAUCGGGGCUUCACAGGUUACAUGUUACAAAAUUUUCAUCUCUAAACCGAAUUUUCUUAAUGUGCAAGAAAACAAGAUCGAAGUCCCGACCGCUUGCUUAAAGGGUAUAAGCCUCUUACCACUUGGACAAAUUCAUUGUUGAUGAACUAUUUAUUUAUUAAUUAAAUUCCAUUAAUCAACAUACAUUUUUUUAACAAGAAAUUAAAGAAAGGGUAAGAGAAAAUACAUGUUGACAAGAUGCAUGGAACCCCAUUGUGGAGGUAUUGUACCAUUAAGGUAGUUGCGUGUAAGAUCACUGUACCACAAAAAUAGAGAACCCCAUUGUUGAUGAUAAUUUAAUAAUGAUGAUGAGAUAAAUAUUUAGUAAGGUUUAGAAUAACACAUACAUUUGUUGGAGGUAAGGUAAUUUCACAAAUUCCCAUGGAAGUGUGCCUGAAAGAUUUUGUGACUUGAGAACACUGCAUCAUAUUAUUUUUGAGGAAAACAUGAGAUUAUUAUAAGAUUGUGUAACACCUUAAAAUUAUGAUCUGAACUUCGGAAUUCACUUGAAAAAAAAAGAGUUAUUUUAACAUCUAAUUAUAAAUCAUUUAAAAUGAGUUAUUUAACUACAAAUUAUUUCCCUUGAAAUAAAAAUGACAAAUUAUUUUAAAUUUAGAAUGUAAGUAUAUUUUUUUUAGUUUCGAAACUCCUUUCCCACAUGCUAUGGCUUUUUCUUCAUGUAUACCACAUUUGUACAUAAUCCACAUGCACAAUAUAAGCAAGAGAUCCCUCAGUAUUUAAGCAUGGCAUAGUCUCAAUCUAGCAUUUUGUACUAAAAAGGUAUUUUGACCGACGAAUAAUACUAAAAUUCUUGUUAACAGAAAAAACAUAGUUGUAGGUUUUUCCUUCAAGUAAUCAUUAUAGCAUUACUAGACCAAACCCAACACUAAAAAAAUUGAUUUGGUCUUUUGGGCAUAAAGACACUAUAGGAGAUAUUCAACAAACACACAAAACAGACACAUAUAUGGAGAUUAGAGACAUACAUGCUAACAAUAUGGCACACAGUGGCAUUGGCAAAAUAGCAAUUGCAUGUAACAGCAUUUGCAAACCCUUUCAUUGGACUAGAAGAUGUCCAGUUACUUUGUCCACUGCAUGGAUCUAUGCUGAAGUCCCAAUCCUUCUUCCCAAGUGUCUUAGCUAUGUCUUUCAUAACUUGUACUGUAUAUUAUUCAAAACAAACAUAUAUACAUAAUCAUAAUGUUGCAAUCAUAUUGUGUUGGAAUUUAAAAUUGAAUUUUUUUUUCUACUACUACAAAACGUUGAGUUAGUGACCUAGAGCAAAGAUUGGAAAACAAGAAACAAAAAUUGUUUGAAUUCUAUCUCUGAGUAUUAGAGAUGCAAAAAUUGAAGACCAGUUUUAUUUAUUCCGUCUUUAAUAUUGAACAGGUGAGUUGGGCUUCAUGGACUCACCAGUGUUGGCAAGAUUGUCAAAAUCAGGACUUUACUUCAGUUCAAAAGGGAAUAGUAAAAUCGGGACUCGUAAAAUCGCAAUCAAUAUCGAAGGAUUUUACUCAAGGACUUUUGUAAAAUCGAUAUAGAAAAUUGUAAAAUUGCAAUCAAAAUCGAUGGAUUUUACCAAAAAAUAAUAAUACAUGAAUAUAUGUUAUAAAUGGUAUAUAAUCAUAAAUGACUUAGUUUAUAAGAAAUCGUAAAAUCGCAAUCAAAAUCGAUGGAUUUUUCCUAUUUUAAGAUUCUACUAUGAAUUUGAGUCGUUGAAGGUGAAGAAAGUGGCAAAAUCCUAGAUUUUAGGAUUUAAGUCGGGAUUUUGACAACAAUGAUUGUUAGAAUAGUCUGAAGACUAAAUUAGCUUUGACAAAGAUACCUACGUAUUUUCCACCAAUAAGGUUCUAUUGCUGCUACGUGGAGUUAAACUCAUGCCUUUGUUGGUAAUAGUAACGUUUUAUUGUGGUGAUGAUGUACUAUGCGAGAGAAAUAUAAGGUACGUACCUUCUUCUUCUAACAAAGUAGUUCCACUAGCAAAUGAAGAGAUAAAACAAAAGGAAAGAAGCAAAAUAUGGAAUAAUAGAGGGAAAAGCUUCAUAUUUGAAUGGAAAUGUGAAAUGGAGGUGUAUAUUAAGAAAGGAUGCAGCAAGAGAAAAAUACUUUCUGUAUGAUUGUUUGUGUAUAUAUAUAUUGUUGACAAAAAGUUGAAGAGAAAAAGAAUGACUAUAUGACUUAUAAGAAGUCAAUUAGAUCUUAAGCAUGUUACCAACUUGUAUAUAUGUUGUUAGAAAUGUAAAAUAUGCAAAAUUUAAGGUUUCUUAAAGGAGGUUACUUGAUUUAAAUAUAUGAAUUAUGAUGAAGUAUAAAUGGGGGAUACACGUUGUAAAACUUGAAAUAGGUGUUAGGUAUUAUCUUCCUUAUAGUUUUGUUUAUAAUUUUCUUAGACAAGUUGCAAAGUCGGUGCUAUAUAUCUUGUGUUUAUUCAGAAUAUGGUUGACUUUCUGUCUUUUGAUUAAAUUAUAAAGUAAUAAAGUAAUAAUAAUUUAAAGUUGGUGAAUGAGUCAAAGAAGUAAGAAGAAAAUCUAAGAGAAAGUCACAGGUGAACAUGAAGUGUGAAAGGAGGAGACAAAAAAAGGAGGAGGUUAGUGAUGAUAGAAUAUAUUAUUAACCACUAACUUAAGGACUCUAAUUACAAUGAAUUGGGACAAUCCCCAUCCAUAGUUUGAGAGCAGUACAAGUUAUCAAGAUAGCUAAAAUCCCCCUGAGAAUUCAUAUAGUACUUUCAGAGAAUAUUGAGGCAAUAAUAAACCAAAAUACAAAUCGUAACAAACAGGCUAAGAUCUUCCACAUAUGGCCAAAGGUCACUAAUAAUAUAAGAUCCACAGUCUUUGAUUUCAUCCAACUUUGGAAAAAGAUUAUUACAGGUGUUCGCACAUAUCGACUAUAAAUGGUCUCUGAAAUGACAAAUUCUGCCACAUGUUGAGAAGACAAUUGCAUGAUUGUGAGGAUAAUGAGUUCGGUGACAACCGUCAUAAGUAUCUUACUUGUAAUACAGUACCUAUGAAACAAGUCCUUCAGAAGCAUUUUAGAAAUCAUAUAAAGUACAAACUUAAACUCAAAUAAAGAACAUAAAAACCAAACCGAAUAGCAUAACAAUAAAAGAAGAAAAACACAACCACAAAUUUAUUAGAUACCAAACCCAGUGAUGAUGGAAUAGCCCAAUAACAGGGAUACCAUGGUGGCUUUCGAGAGGGACGCUCAGUUGACGUUAUAACAGGGAUAAAUUUGUUUGUUAGUUAAUUGUUAUAAAAGAAGUGAAAAGGUCUCCUUGAGGGUAACCCUGCAAUGUUUUAUUAGUUUGAACUGAAGCAUGUGAUUAAAAAUGAUAGGACUUAAGCACAUGAGGAGAGUCCAGUUUAAAAGACUGGUCCAUUCAUUAGAGGGAAGAGUAUUUUGGCUUAAUGAGUGAAUGCCAACAUUGUAACGCCCUUUAAAAGUUAUGUCAUCAGCUACUUUCAUUCAAUAAUCACUGACCAAGUGGUUGCCCUUUUCUCUUUGGAGGCUUCACUCAUCUAUCAAUGAUUCAGUAUGGUAGGCUUAACCUAGCCUAUAAUAACUAACCAUUUGCGGGACCAAACUAUCAACGAAAUUUCGUGUCCACUUUAUCAUGUUAUUUAGAGAAUUUGAAUAUAUCUUUUAGUUUCAAGAACAAUUUUAUAAUACUAUUUCGUAAUAAUUUCAAUAUAUUUUGAUGCAGUAGAUAAGUAGUGUUAUUCUUGUGAACGGAACCAAAAAGGUUUUUUCAUCAAAUAUUAAUGUGAAUUUUAUGUAUUUUGUUUUCUUAAAAGUUUUGAUAUUUGUGAUUCAUCUUAUCUAAUUUUAAAAAAUCAUUUUGAAAAAGAAUUGAGAAAUUUCCUAAACUUAUUUUAAUGCAAUUUUUUUUUUCUUUCUAUUUGCAAUAGAAAAUUAAAAGUUUCAAAAUCUUUGUCCUACAAAUUAGCAUCAGCCUUUAAUGCGACGCUAUUCAAAUUUCCAGAAAUCUAGUGACGUGAUUAUUCUCUCAGAAAUUUGCAACGGAUUCUUUCCCUCGAAUGUUGUGACGGAAAUAUGGGUUUAAAUAUCAAUAUUUUGCGAGGCUUUGCGUCAGAGAUUUGCUUUUUGCGACCGUAAGGAAACCGUUGCAAAUUUGACGGAUUUGAUUUCCCCUAGCUUAAUUUCUCCGACGCCAUUAUCACGAUGGUUUUCAGGUACGUCACAAAAUCCGUCAGAAAUUCUUCAGCGACUGAUGUUAGCUCAUUUUGCGACAUUUUUCUGCCAUCGCUAAUCCGAAUUUUCUAGUAGUGAAAGCACCAAUUAUUAUGACUUAACCACAAAGAAGAGAUGAAUUUAAAAGACUAGCUAGUGUAUUGGAUAGGAAAGGAUCAUGACUUUAAUACCACAUUGAACACUUUUCUCUACUCAGUGUGAGAUCCAAUUAAAGAAGCGCAUUAGCAGACCACAAGGAAAAGGGUAACAAAUGUUGAAGUAUGAUAUCCAAUUCGUUUUUCUAUUGCUUAAUUUUAUUUUUACCCAUUCAAGUAUCAUGUGAUCCCUUCACUUUUCUUUUGAGCGAUUUUGAUCCCAUAUGUUUUCUCUCUGAUUUGAUAGUCCCCUCCCAAUUUCCUCCAAAAGCUUAUAAAGAUACAUUAUGUAGCUAAAGUACUUGAAAUUACUUUUUUUUCAUAACAAGAAAAGCUUGGGAAGAUUGUCGAAUUAAUAUAUGUUAGUUAAAUAAUAUUUAAUGCAGUAAAUAAAAUUAAAAAUAAUUGUAUAUUUAAAUUGGAGGUAGUAAACAUAUAAAGUUAUUAAGCUAAUGAUUAUAUGGUAUAUUCAACCUUUUGUCCAACAUAGAUGAUGUUGUUAAACUAUCAAAAUCCUAUGUGUAGUCUUCAUUCUACAAAUGAAAGGUAGCUCGUCAAAACAUUGGAGUAUUGUUUUUUUAUUCAAACAUAAAACUAUAACUUAAAUGAGUUACCUCACUAUAAUAGACUGUAUCUAUUUAACAAUUUUUUGCUUUUAAAAAGAACACUAUAUUUUAAGAUAUCAUGGUUUCUUUACAUGAUAAUAGCAGGACUUCAAGCAGCAGAUGCAGUUAUUUAUCAACAAACAAUCUUAAUUUCUUUUCUCCCAAUAGGAAGAAUCAAGGUGGACAGGAUAAAGAUCUCUAGCUGAUGAAGAUGAAGCAGUCCAUUGCCCAUCAGUUAAUAAAUUCUGACUUUGUGUUUGUGUUUUACUUAUCUUAUUUUCUUCAAUCUGAUAAUAAUACUUUCUCAUUGCUUCCAACUUUUUCUCAUCCAUUACUUCACUUGAAUCUGAAACAAAUUCUGGAACCACGGUAUUUCCUUCAAGCAUACUUACAACCGACGACAUGGGGGGCCUAAGGUUUGAAGUGACGUUGGUACAUAGGAGAGCCACGUUGAUCAUCACCAUAGCUUCCUUUUUGUUGAAAUCUGAACCUAAUCUUCUAUCAACUAACUCCAUCAGGUCACCUUUCUCUUUCAACAAAUGUGCCUGUUCAAAGAAAAAAAAACAAAUAGUUUGAUUUCAAACAAAUGUACAUGAUCAAUUUUUGAAAAUUCUUCAAAGAACGAACAAUAAAUGUGCGACACAAAACGAAAUGUAAGUAGAUAGUGUCAUGGAUAAUCAAAUUUACAUGGUCAAUGGAGAACAUAGAAUAGUUACCCAUUCUAGAAGAAGGAAUGCUUCCUCCUUUGAUUGAUACAUGGUGUUGCUCCUUCCACUAACGAUUUCCAAGGCAACAAUUCCAAAACUAUAAACAUCAGCUUUGUCUGUCAAAUAACCAUGCAUUGCAUAUUCAGGAGCCAUAUAUCCACUGCAUAGUUGGAACAUAUCAUUGUAAUAACUUGAUAUCAGUAUACAACAUAUCAAAGUUUUAUACUAUAAAAAUAUCAUUUGAAUUGAAUGGUAACUUUUUGGAGUAAUUUUUAAUAAACUCAAAGAAGGCAAUAAUUGUAGUUACUCACUAUGUCCCAGCAAUUCUAGUGCUAAUGUGAGUAUUAUCCUCCUCAUCAAGCCUGGCCAAACCAAAAUCAGAUAUCUUUGGAUCGAGAUCUUUAUCAAGCAACACAUUAGUAGCCUUGAUGUCCCUGUGAACAACCUUCAGUCUUGAUUCUUCAUGAAGGUAUGCUAAACCUCUAGCAAUACCAACACAUAUUUUCUUUCUUGGUGACCAAUCUAAUCUUAUUUGGUGUUCCUCUGGACCUUCAUUUUUGAAUGUAAUAAAAAUCAGACAAUGAAACUACAUAGUCGACUGCUAAGAUAGAAAAUGCGAAAUAUCACAAAAAUAGACCAUAUCGUAAAAAUUACCAAAUAAAGCACGAGCAAGACUAUUGUUUUCCAAGUAUUCAUAUAUCAGCAACAAUUGAUCUCCCUCCACACAACAACCGUGGAGUUUAACAAGAUAAGGGUGUUGCAAAGCUGAAAUCAUGCCUAUCUCGUUUAAAAACUCACGAUUCCCUUGCUUUGAUUUUGAAGAAAGUUGCUUCACUGCUAUCAAUGUCCCAUUUGGUAAACUUCCCUGAAUAUUAAGGAAUGGUUGGCUGUUAGAAGUUAAAAAGGAGUUUUAUGAAAAGCAUGACACACGAGGAUUUGUUAUAUUAUGCAAAAUACCUUGUACACAGGACCAAAUCCUCCUUCUCCAAUCUUAUAGGCAAUAUCAAAGUUGUUAGUCGCUGCUUUGAUUUGCCGUAACGUAAAUAGCCCAGGUUGGAAAUCUAAACCCUUUAGCUCUGUUGAUUGAAGUAAAAAAGAAUAUAUAAAAUCAGAGAUUUGUUUUGAGCAAUUUCCACAUCAAUACGUUUAGCAAGUACAAAUCUAGACAAAAUGGCAGCAUUGACAAAACAAUCUAUAUUAUUAUAAAAUCAAAUUCACCUGUUAUGUUUAUAAAGAAAUUUCCCAAAAUUAACUUUUAUGCUUGAAAAAUCCCAAUUGUGCAUCAAAAUCGUGUUUUAGAGUUAAUCUAUCUUCUUAGGUCUUACCUCUUUCUAACGGACCUAUAUGUCUGAGACAUCUUAUCCACCGAGAUAUACCAAAUAUCAGUAAGAUAACUAGUCCUCCAGCAAGAACAAUCACAGCAAUUUUCCAAACAGGCAUGCUACUUCCCUUUUCCACCGGGGGUGUAAAGUCUGUUUAAUUAUGAUAAAAUAUAAAAGAUUUGCAUAUAAACCAUAUUAGAGGAUGAUGGCAUAAGAACCAUGAAGAACUAUAACUGACCAGGAUCAACCGAUAUAGCCGAUAUAAGAGGACCAUAUACCGAUCCAAAUGGGAUAGCAGUUGUCCCUUUCCCAGCCCAAUGAAGGCGAAUCUCCAACGUAUUACUAGUCACAAUAGCAGUGAAUUUCUUUACGACUGCCUUACCAACUCCACCGGCUUCUUUUGCAAUAUUGAAAUCCUUCAGCACCAACCUUGUCUGCAAUAAUUCAAUCAAAAGAAGGUUUAUAAUCUUCAAAGGACAAUUUGAUCAAUACAAAAAAUGUUGUUGACAAAGAUAUAUUUUUUUUGGAUAAGGCACAAAAACACUAAAAGGUUGUUGACAAAGAUAAGACAAUGAGACUAUAACCUGAAUAUAGAUGUCAAAUAUGCGCCUCCCAAGACUGUUAUAUGUUUGGUCAUCGGUGAACAUUAUCUCCGCAAAAUGGAGAUUUACUGUGUAGUUUCCAUUUCCCAUGCAAAAUCCAUAAUAUGUUAGGGAAAGAGGAGAAACCCGUGAAUCCAUAUACAACUCACCAUUGUCGAUGGAAAGGUUCGUUUUAUUAGACCAGGUAUAGUAAUCCUCCACAAGGCUACUAUCAAAGAAGUGGCCGGUGUUGCUAAGUGCCCAAUUCGAUCCACUACGGUGAAAGCUUGCUGCUGGU
rnacentral:lncRNA from 1 species